GUACACUCCUGCGGGAGGCAGCAGUGGGGAAUUUUGGACAAUGGGCGAAAGCCUGAUCCAGCCAUGCCGCGUGCAGGAUGAAGGCCUUCGGGUUGUAAACUGCUUUUGUACGGAACGAAACGGCCUUUUCUAAUAAAGAGGGCUAAUGACGGUACCGUAAGAAUAAGCACCGGCUAACUACGUGCCAGCAGCCGCGGUAAUACGUAGGGUGCAAGCGUUAAUCGGAAUUACUGGGCGUAAAGCGUGCGCAGGCGGUUAUGUAAGACAGUUGUGAAAUCCCCGGGCUCAACCUGGGAACUGCAUCUGUGACUGCAUAGCUAGAGUACGGUAGAGGGGGAUGGAAUUCCGCGUGUAGCAGUGAAAUGCGUAGAUAUGCGGAGGAACACCGAUGGCGAAGGCAAUCCCCUGGACCUGUACUGACGCUCAUGCACGAAAGCGUGGGGAGCAAACAGGAUUAGAAACCCUGGUAGUCCCAUG
rnacentral:rRNA from 1 species